AACUUCUGUAAAGAAAACAGAAAUUACAACAAAAGAGAAGCAAUUAAAUAAUAGUUGUUUUACUACUGACUGCUUAUUAGGUCUAGUUUAUACACAGUUCCAAAGAUCAGACGAGGUUUAUGCAUUUGCCAGAUCUGAGUGGCCAGAGACUGAAUGGACUGGUAUUCUACAUGCAGACUCUCACAGAGCUUUGACCAAAACAGUGAUAUCCAUUAGUUCAAGUUCAUACAAUGUUUCCACGUGAAACACUUUGUUAACAUUAAUCAGCAUGCUCCCAUUUUAGUGCCUAUUAACUGUAAUUUUGGUAAAAAUAUUCAAAUGAAAAAUUCACAUUGUGCCUAUAUGCUUAGUUUGUUUAUCUGCAAAUCUUUGUAGUAUAUCCAAAUUCCUUUAAAGACUUCCUGUCGUGGUCAUCACUGAAGAACAACAGAAUUCUUCAAACCCUGUGGCCAUGGGUAGGGAGUGGAGAAGCCCCAAAUCAGUGAAAUGCCGAGCAAAUGUGUAUUUUGAGAUUGGUAUGGCCUGUUGAGGACUCCAAGACUAAUUGGCCCAAGUCCAAACCCCAGCAGAGCAUCGAUGCCAAGAGACACUUGCUCCCUAACCUACAGCGACGCUAAGAUGAUGUCCUCACCUAUGGCAGCGAGGUUCCGGCAGGUCUCCAGCAUCACAUCUCUGUACAGACUCUUCUGGGAAGGAUCCAGCAGAGCCCACUCUUCCUGGGUGAAGUGCACAGCCACGUCCUCAAAGCUCACUGAGGCCUAAACAUUGCACACAUCAAUUGACAAGAGGUUCAUUCCACACUGUGGGGUCCACACAUCUGUCCCAUGACACAGACGCUGUCUUGCAAACACUGAGGAUGUGGAAGGAAGCAGCCCUGCAGCAGCACCCUCUCAUGACUGGGCCCAGGCACAGGACGUGCUGCUGCUCUGCCCCGGUCCUCUUUCUACAGGGAACUUCCACUUCCUGUCUCAGAGCCCUCCCACCCGAUAGAACAGCGGUGACACUAGUAUGUGAGCGUCUGCUUGUCCUUAGAAAUUCCUGGUAGCAAUGCUUACAUUAAAAAUGUAUCUUUUAACUUUAUGUAUAUGUGCGUAUGCCUGACUGUAUGUACGUAUGUGUGUGUCGAGGUCCACAGAGGUUGGAAGAAGCAUCACAACCCCUGGACCUGGAGUUAUGGACAGUUUCAGCCACCAUGUGGAUGUUUGGCACUAAACCCAGCACAUCCUCUGCAAGAACAUUCGGUUCUCUUAGCCUGAGUAAUUUCCCCAGCCUCAAUGCUAAAAUUUGAUAGUGGAAGCAAUCUUAAUGUCUUGGUUGAAAAUGCAUGAAUACAAAUGAUAAAUAAAUCACUCAGGAUAAACGUUUAA